UACGGGGGGGGGCAAGCGUUGUUCGGAAUUACUGGGCGUAAAGGGCUCGUAGGCGGCCAACUAAGUCCGACGUGAAAUCCCAAGGCUUAACCUUGGAACUGCGUCGGAUACUGGAUGGCUUGAAUUCGGGAGAGGGAUGCAGAAUUCCAGGUGUAGCGGUGAAAUACGUAGAUAUCUGGAGGAAUACCGGUGGCGAAGGCGGCAUCCUGGACCGAGAUUGACACUGAUGAGCGAAAAGCUAGGGGAGCAAACGGG
rnacentral:rRNA from 1 species